rnacentral:rRNA from 1 species
UACGAAGGGUGCAAGCGUUACUCGGAAUUACUGGGCGUAAAGCGUGCGUAGGCGGUGAGUUAAGUCUGUCGUGAAAGCCCCGGGCUCAACCUGGGAAUGGCGAUGGAUACUGGCUCGCUAGAGUGCGGUAGAGGAGAGUGGAAUUCCCGGUGUAGCAGUGAAAUGCGUAGAGAUCGGGAGGAACAUCAGUUGCGAAGGCGGCUCUCUGGACCAGCACUGACGCUGAGGCACGAAAGCGUGGGGAGCAAACAGG